GUCAGUCGGGUCAGGCGGGGCAGAGGCCGCCGGGUGUGGAGCGUCUCAAAGACAGUGGAGCUCAAUUUAAAGCUGGUCAGCUGCGGAAUUCAUGUUUGGAAGCUUUUCAAGCCUUAUUCACUGUUUUACAAACGCUGCACGGGUUUCAUCAAGCUUCUGAAAAGACGGACCAGUAUGAGUUACCGGCGCGGCAGUCCGUCACUCGUCCAUCGUCACCAUGACAACACGCCGUCCCGGUCCAACUGCCACGUGACUGUCAUCGCCAAUCCGAGCUGCCCGCUCAAUUCGGGAUC